AUUGAACGCUGGCGGAAUGCUUUACACAUGCAAGUCGAACGGCAGCACGGACUUCGGUCUGGUGGCGAGUGGCGAACGGGUGAGUAAUGUAUCGGAACGUGCCCAGUCGUGGGGGAUAACGUAGUGAAAAUUACGCUAAUACCGCAUACGAUCUAUGGAUGAAAGCGGGGGAUCGCAAGACCUCGCGCGAUUGGAGCGGCCGAUAUCAGAUUAGGUAGUUGGUAGGGUAAAGGCCCACCAAGCCAACGAUCUGUAGCUGGUCUGAGAGGACGACCAGCCACACUGGAACUGAGACACGGUCCAGACUCCUACGGGAGGCAGCAGUGGGGAAUUUUGGACAAUGGGCGAAAGCCUGAUCCAGCCAUUCCGCGUGCAGGAUGAAGGCCCUCGGGUUGUAAACUGCUUUUGUACAGAACGAAAAGGUUUCUACUAAUACUAGGAGCUCAUGACGGUGCUGUAGGAAUAAGCACCGGCUAACUACGUGCCAGCCGCCGCCGUAA
rnacentral:rRNA from 1 species